rnacentral:rRNA from 1 species
CCUACGGGUGGCAGCAGUCGAGAAUUUUUCACAAUGGGGGCAACCCUGAUGGAGCGACGCCGCGUGGAGGAUGAAGGCCUUCGGGUUGUAAACUCCUGUCAUGCGGGAACAAGCAAGUGAUAGUACCGCAAGAGGAAGAGACGGCUAACUCUGUGCCAGCAGCCGCGGUAAUACAGAGGUCUCAAGCGUUGUUCGGAUUCAUUGGGCGUAAAGGGUGCGUAGGUGGUGACGCAAGUCUGGUGUGAAAUCUCGGAGCUCAACUCCGAAAUUGCACCGGAUACUGCGUGACUCGAGGACUGUAGAGGAGAUCGGAAUUCACGGUGUAGCAGUGAAAUGCGUAGAUAUCGUGAGGAAGACCAGUUGCGAAGGCGGAUCUCUGGGCAGUUCCUGACACUGAGGCACGAAGGCCAGGGGAGCAAACGGGAUUAGAUACCCUUGUA